GUUCGUGGCCAUGGACGGCAUCCUCAAACUCUAGGUCUCUAUCGUUGCCUGGAAGGGACAAAUAUCAUAGUUGCACAAGAUAGAGUUCUCACUAAUUCUGAAGGGUUAGAAGACAAUUGGCUCUUGAUAGAAGUGUAGCUUUGGAUGUGGUGAGGAAGAGGCACUUUUUCAUAUUUUUAGAGAAUGUCUCAGAGCUCGUGCUUGCUGGUAUAGAAUUGUUGGGGAAGCGAUUGGUCCAAAUCAGUGGUGGAAUGAUGAAGAGUACAGGGAUGAAGAUUUCUGAAUGUAGAUUUGUCGGCUAGGAGAGCUCUCUAGUUUGACUUUGUUUUUUUCAAUGUAUUAUUCAGUGCCAGGUGAAUGUAAAUACAAAUAUGUUAUUAGAAGGCUAAUCGGGCAGAUGUAAUUAAUUUUUUAAGAAAAUAAGCUGCAAAUGUUAUUUCAUCUUAUGCU